GACGGACGCUGGCGGCAUGCCUAACACAUGCAAGUCGAACGGUAAGGCUUCCUUCGGGAAGUACACGAGUGGCGAACGGGUGAGUAACACGUGGGUAACCUACCCUUGACUGGGGGACAACCGAGGGAAACUUAGGCUAAUACCGCAUAACGACAAUUGCCUCAAGGUGGUGUACCAAAGCUCCGGCGGUUAAGGAUGGGCCCGCGGCAGAUUAGCAUGUUGGUGAGGUAACGGCCUACCAAGGCGACGAUCUGUAGCUGGUCUGAGAGGAUGAUCAGCCACACUGGGACUGAGACACGGUCCAGCCUCCUACGGGAGGCAGCCGUGGGGAAUCUGGCGCAAUGGGCGAAAGCCCGACGCAGCAAUGCCGCGUGAGGGAAGACGGCCUUAGGGUUGUAAACCUCUUUCAGCAGGGACGAACACAGACGGUACCUGCAGAAGAAGCCCCGGCUAACUACGUGCCAGCCGCCGCAGUAA
rnacentral:rRNA from 1 species